rnacentral:misc_RNA from 1 species
AAGUCGUAACAAGGUUUCCGUAGGUGAACCUGCGGAAGGAUCAUUAACACGGUUAGACUUUAAUCGCCGCGCACCUUGUUAAAAAACGGACUUUGUUCGAACCAGGAAAUUGAGAGCAAGCUGCUUGAUUGAUGGGUGGCCUCUCUCGGUUGACAAACGACUUGGUUUUUGAAUCUCACGGUCCGUCAUCAAUCACUUGGAGCUUUUUCUUUUUUUGAUAUAAACACCUUUUCGUACUACUACCAGUCUGAAUCGUUUGAUCUCUCUGCCUCUUUUUCUUUUUUUUCUUUCUGAGAAAAGAGAGAGAUCUAUCUUUUUUUUCUUUCUGAGAAAAGAGAGAGAGAGCGCGUUGGGAAAGAACAAAAAAACAUAACUUUGAACAACUCUUAGCAACGGAUAUCUCGGUUCUC